CACAGAGACAAAGAAAGAAAGACAAAAGAAAAGCAAGCUCAGCAAUGAAAGGAAGCAAGGAAGGGGCAGCUGGCUUCUUCCUUUCUUUGCAAGGUCUUUCAUUUUGUUUUUUCUUUGUUGUUCCU
rnacentral:ribozyme from 1 species